rnacentral:rRNA from 1 species
UACGUAGGGGGCAAGCGUUGUCCGGAUUUAUUGGGCGUAAAGAGCGUGUAGGCGGCCAUACAGGUCCGUUGUGAAAACUCGAGGCUCAACCUCGAGACGCCGGUGGAAACUGCAGAGCUAGAGUCCGGAAGAGGAGAGUGGAAUUCCUGGUGUAGCGGUGAAAUGCGCAGAUAUCAGGAAGAACACCCGUGGCGAAGGCGGCUCUCUGGGACGGUACUGACGCUGAGACGCGAAAGCGUGGGGAGCGAACAGG